rnacentral:sRNA from 1 species
AGAGCCUUGGCGCUCCCUGGGAGUCUGGUCGGCGGGCUGUGGGGUCCCAAAAUCGUGACCCCAGCCCCUCUCCCCUCCUCCCCCACCAUCUCCCAUGUCAGGAUCAGUUCGAGGUGCUCGAGCGCCACACGCAGUGGGGGCUGGACCUGUUGGACAGAUAUGUAAAGUUCGUGAAAGAACGCACCGAAGUGGAACAGGCUUACGCCAAACAACUGCGGAGCCUGGUGAAAAAAUAUCUGCCCAAGAGACCUGCCAAGGAUGAUCCUGAGUCCAAGUUCAGCCAGCAACAGUCCUUCGUACAGAUUCUCCAGGAGGUGAAUGACUUUGCAGGCCAGCGGGAGCUGGUGGCCGAGAACCUCAGUGUCCGUGUAUGUCUUGAGCUGACCAAGUACUCACAAGAGAUGAAACAGGAGAGGAAGAUGCACUUCCAAGAAGGGCGGCGGGCCCAGCAGCAGCUGGAAAACGGCUUCAAACAGCUGGAGAAUGUGAGUUUGCAGAGGUGGCAGUGACUGUAGCCCGGAGGCACGGGGGCAGGGUUGCGGAUCCCGGAGUCAGGGAGCUGCCCUCUUUGACAGACCUGGACCUUCCCUCCCCCAUAGGCUUCCAGUAUGCCCUUGUCCCCUACUUACUGGAUGACAUCCCAAUAAUCCCCGAAACCUUGGUUUCCCACCCUGCUGUCUUUGGGAUGGUGGCUCCCUCACUCUGGUUCUGUCCCCUACACAGAGUAAGCGUAAAUUUGAGCGGGACUGCCGGGAGGCAGAGAAGGCAGCCCAGACUGCUGAACGGCUAGACCAGGAUAUCAACGCCACCAAGGCUGAUGUGGAGAAGGCCAAGCAGCAAGCCCACCUUCGGAGUCAUAUGGCUGAAGAAAGCAAAAACGAAUAUGCAGCUCAACUGCAGCGCUUCAACCGAGACCAAGCCCACUUCUAUUUUUCACAGAUGCCGCAGAUAUUCGAUGUGAGUGCUCCCAGUUCUCAGACCUACCUUCCCGAAAGCCUCCAAAUGUUAGCC